rnacentral:snRNA from 1 species
AGAUGUGAGGGUAAUCUGGCUGUGACAUGUCACCCCACUGAUCACUAGGGUUGAUUCAGCUGAUCUGGCUGGCGAGGUGGGUAUCCCCUUCCUCCCUCAGUGCUCCAUGUGCAUCCUCCUGAAGCUGUGUGCUUGGUCGAAGAUGACAACCAGCCCUCAAUAGAGGAGGACCGUUCCUCUAUCAAGGGUAUACAAGUAGCUGUGCUCCCCUGCAACAACCUCCAAACAAGCUCUGAAGGACUAGUACCUCACCCCUGAAUUACGGAGCUUCAUCCCUCUCAGGUAAACAUCACAGCACGGUGUCAGGCACUUCCAAAAUCACAAACCCUACUCUG